AAGAUGAGGAUGAGGAUGAAGGAGGAAGAAGGUGGGAAAGGUGAAAAGAGGAAGAGAGAAACAGAUGAUGAAGGAGAAGAUGAUUAAGACCCCAGAUGACCUGCAGAAACAGAACUGUUCAGUAUUGGUUGGACUGCUCAUGGAUUUUGUAGCUGUUUAAAAAAAAAAAAAAGGUAGCUGUGAUACAAACCCCAGGACACCCACCCACCCAAAGAGCCAAAGAAUAGUUCCUGUGACAUUCCGCCUUCCUUCCAUGUAGUCCCUCUUGGUAAUCUACCACCAAGCUUGUGGACUUCACCCCAACAAAAUUGUAAGCGUUGUUAGGUUUUUGUGUAAGAUUCUUGCUGUAGCGUGGAUAGCUGUGAUUGGUGAGUCAACCGUCUGUGGCUACCAGUUACACUGAGAUUGUAACAGCAUUUUUACUUUCUGUACAACAAAAAAGCUUUGUAAAUAAAAUCUUAACAUUUUGGGUC
rnacentral:lncRNA from 10 species